UUCUUAUUUCGGCCCCGCGUUGCCACACCCCUUCUUAUUUCACUUUCUUCUUCUCUCCUCCUCUCAUCGAUCUCCCUCUUCUCUCUAGUUCUUGCCGGCAUUUGGUAACCCUGAUUUCAUCAUCUACAGAUUCAUCUUCUUCGAUUGAUCAUAUGUGAGUUCGAACUGUAGAACACAAUGUUUUGAGAUCAUUUGGGGCUUCCAACAAUCUAGAAGGUUUUCUUGUGUGACAAUUCAUUGCCUAGCCUAUAUCAAUCUGUUUUACUGUUCCUCGGUAUAGAAUUUGGUGGAUGUUGGCAUUUGUGAUGCUAUGGUGAGACAUUUGAUUCCUUGUGGAUUCUUCAGCUGCUUCUGCUGACUAGGCAAAGUCCCAACUCCUCCCCCCAACCAAGAUAAACUUAUUCAGAAAUGGAUCGCUGUGAUACCUCAGGGUUUGUAAGUGGGGGUGGGAUGUACUCCUUCAGAGAAUAGCUUAGUUUUGUUCUUUGUUAUUUUUUUUAGCCCCGGAAGUCAGUCAGGCAGCUUUUUUCUUCUAAAUUUUUUCACAUCGACAUUUGGUCUGGAUAAGGGAAUUGUGUUUUCAGCCGAUACCAAAUGGAUGCAAGGUUUCGACAUUUGGGUUUUUCUGCUAACCCUUCCUCAAAUGCAUUUGAGAAUCUAAGCAAAAUGAAUAAUGUUGGAGGAAUUGGAGCUGAUUAUUGUGCAGACACUGUCUUAAGGCUUGAUUCACCUGGUGUCUCUUUCCCUUACUCUACCUCCUCAAAGGGAACCAAGAGGAAAUGGAGCACAAUUGAUGGAUCCAUUGGCUUUGAGGAUGGUUCUUCACUGGUUCUGGGGCUAGGUUGUUCACCGAGUUCUUCUGAGAGCAAGGGAAGUUCAGCGACUGCUUGCACAACCAUUUCUUCAGCGAAAGAAAAUGAAGAGGAAUCAUCAAUGGAUGUUGGCCUAGAUUUUGACCUCCAUCUUGGCAAUGAGAAAGCACGAGGUCCAAAGAAACCUGCUGGUGCUAAUUUGAAGCCACUGGAAGUAAGACCCGAAUUUGACCUUGAAUUAAGUCUUUCGACUGGGCCUGCUGAAUCUGAUAUCACCAGUGUCACUCCUGGCUCUACCCCUUCUCAAAACAACUUUGAGAUGCCAUUCAUGGCUAGCACCGGCCCACUUAUGGAUGAAGGAUCGACAUCAUCUCAAUGGAAACUUGGGAAUGCCACUCUUCCAUUGCAUUCCGUUCAUGGUGUAGAGACUAGCUGGAUUCAAAACCAGUUGUCCAUGGCCCACAAAACAGAUCCGGUUCCUAUCGUUCCAGACCUUUCAACAACAAUGGUAACCACUCAAAAAAGCUCAGUCACCUGUACUUCUGGGGUUACUCAGCAGCAACAACAAUGCAGUAGUAGCACAAAGACCUGUCAAUUCGCAGGAUGUGGAAAGGGUGCCAGAGGUGCAUCUGGCCUUUGUAUUGCCCAUGGUGGUGGCCGGAGGUGUCAGAAAGCUGGCUGUCACAAGGGAGCUGAGGGCCGGACUGUUUACUGCAAGGCCCAUGGCGGUGGGCGCCGUUGCCAAUAUCUUGGUUGCACAAAGAGUGCUGAAGGCCGCACUGAUUAUUGUAUUGCCCAUGGUGGUGGAAAACGGUGCAGUCAUGAGGGAUGCACCCGAGCAGCAAGAGGGAAGUCUGGUUUGUGCAUCCGACACGGAGGUGGCAGGCGAUGCCAAAAGGAGAAUUGCACAAAGAGUGCAGAAGGCUUCUCUGGUCUCUGCAUAUCUCAUGGAGGUGGACGUCGCUGCCGGUUUCCAGCAUGCUCAAAAGGUGCUCAAGGGAGCACAAUGUUCUGCAAGGCUCAUGGUGGCGGCAAGAGGUGCUCUGUUUUAGGAUGUACGAAGGGCGCAGAAGGGAGCACACCCUUCUGCAAGGGCCAUGGUGGAGGAAAGAGGUGUUCAUUCCAAGGAGGUGGAGUUUGUCCAAAAAGUGUGCAUGGAGGUACCCUUUUUUGUGUUGCUCAUGGGGGUGGCAAGAGAUGUGCUAUGCCAGAGUGCACCAAGAGUGCUAGAGGGCGGACAGACUACUGUGUCCGUCAUGGUGGGGGCAAAAGAUGCAAAUUUGAUGGAUGCAGGAAGAGUGCUCAAGGCAGCACUGACUUCUGCAAGGCACAUGGUGGUGGGAAGCGGUGCUUAUGGGGCCAACCAAAUUCUGAAUUUGCUGGCCAAGGUGCUCUGUGUGACCGGUUUGCUCGGGGAAAGACCGGUCUCUGUGCUGCCCAUAGUGCCCUAGUGCAGGACAGGCGGGUGCAUGGGGUUGGAACACUGGCACUUGCGGUCCAAGAACCAAAGCCUGGCAAGCCUGAGAAGAUGAAAGAGAUUGUAACUGAAGACAUGCAGGUUGAUGUCAUGAAUAUGGACAGCAGUGAAGGGAGCUUUGCUGGCUGGAGUGGUUUUGAUUCACAUGGUAAAGGACAUCCAGCAAUAGCACUCGAAUUACCACCACCAGUUCAAUUUCCUCCAGGGAAAGGAGGGCUGCCACCUGGUCCGGUUUUGUUGCCAGAAGGUAGGGUUCAUGGGGGAAGUCUGAUGGCAAUGUUAACAAGUGGUUCAGGUUUGACUCCUUCCGGUGAAAAUCAAGUAGUUGUUGAUCCAUCUGAGCCUGGAAAAUCUAAGAUGUUUCCUGACUGGAUGAAGUGAUUGGGAGCAAAUGAAGCGUAAUAGUUAGGUUUCACUGACAAGCUGCCCUAGUGUUUGAUUUGGUUUCUGACAAGGUUCAUGUGAAUACUUCGUAUUUAUCUUCAAAGUUUUCAGGUUACAGGGCAAUGCACGGAAAAUAAUGCUAAAUGGACAGGGAUGAUGAUAUCUGGAGAUCAAGCCACCUGCAGGUCACUUGAAUCGAUCAACUGAUGAUCAAGGGCAAGACUGGAAGAAGUUACAUUAAAGCACUAAGAGAGAAGUCAAAGUCCAAUCUAAGAAGCCCAAGUUUUUAUGCACAUUAGUGGGUUGAACUGCGGAGAAGGAAAGCAUAGGGCAUAAUGGUAAUUUUGACUAAUUGGGAAUUUUUUGGAAUAGAUUAGAUAUUGGGUUCAUUUUGUCUGUAAUUUAAAAUGGCGCAACUUUAAUUCUCGGAUUGGGUCAGCCCGGAGUCAAGAUGUGGCA